rnacentral:rRNA from 1 species
GUGCCAGCAGCCGCGGUAAUACGUAGGUGGCAAGCGUUGUCCGGAUUUACUGGGCGUAAAGGGCAGGCAGGCGGAUCGUUAAGUAGAAAGUGAAAGGUCGGAGCUCAACUCCAACAUUGCUUUCUAUACUGGCGGUCUUGAGUCCCGGAGGGGAGAGCGGAACGACACGUGUAGCRGUGAAAUGCGUUGAUAUGUGUCGGAACACCAAUGGCGAAGGCAGCUCUCUGGACGGGUACUGACGCUCAUCUGCGAAAGCCGAGGUAGCGAACAGGAUUAGAUACCCUGGUAGUCUCGGCCCUAAACGAUGAUCACUAGGUGUCGGGGGGUUUCCCUCGGUGCCGCAGCUAACGCAUUAAGUGAUCCGCCUGGGGACUACGGCCGCAAGGUUGAAACUCAAAGGAAUUGGCGGGGGCCCGCACAAGCGGUGGAGCAUAUGGCUUAAUUCGAUGCAACGCGAAGAACCUUACCCAGGCUUGACAUGUACCUGCAAGCUCCCCAAAAGGAGCCGCUUUCGAAGGUGGUACACAGGUGGUGCAUGGCUGUCGUCRGCUCGUGUUGUGAAAUGUUGGGUUAAGUCCCGCAACGAGCGCAACCCUCAUGUUAUGUUGCCAGCGAGUAAUGUCGGGAACUCGUAACAAACUGCCUAUGUAAAUAGGAGGAAGGUGGGGAUGACGUCAAGUCAUCAUGCCCCUUACGCCUGGGGCUGCACAUAUGCUACAAUGGAUGCUACAAACGGUCGCGAACCCGCGAGGGCGAGCUAAUCUGAAAAAAGCAUYCUCAGUUCGGAUUGGAGUCUGCAACUCGACUCCAUGAAGCCCGGAAUCGCUAGUAACCGCAGUCAGCAUUACUGCGGUGAAUACGUUCCCGGGCCUUGCACACACCGCCCGUC